GAUUUAUUCAAAGAACUGGCUGAUUUUCGCUUUCAGAAUAUCAAUAGCGAUGCGGUUUUUACCGCCGCGCGGCACGAUAAUAUCCGCAUAUUGUUUGGAAGGCUCAAUAAAUUGCAGGAACAUCGGACGCACCGUUUUCUGAUAUUGCGCCAUCACCGAAUCCAUUGAGCGACCACGCUCGUUCACAUCGCGUUUGAUACGGCGCAUCAAACAGAUAUCCAGCGGCGUAUCGACAAAAAUAGAGAAGUUCAUCUCUUCACGCAAACGCGCGUCGGUCAGUAACAGAAUACCUUCAAGAAUAAUCACUUUCUUCGGUUCUACGCGAACCGUUUCCUGCAUACGGGUAUGCUCAAUAUAACUGUAUACCGGUAAUUCAAUCGCCGAAC
rnacentral:misc_RNA from 1 species